rnacentral:misc_RNA from 1 species
UUUUUUUAGAAAGUUAGGCUACAUUCCAUUAAUGGAUAAAAUAAUAAAGCCCCCAAUACAUAUAAAGCUGACUAAAGCCGGCUCUUUACCGAGAGACGCAAAAAGCAAAAGAAAACCAAUUCUAAAAGUCCUGUCCUUCUCUUAAAAAUGGAGCCCCAAAAUUCAAAAUAACCAACCCAUGAGAAACAAGCCAGGUCUCAUCUUCCUCGCAAAGCUUUGGAGUCCUAGCCGACACUAUCUCCACAAGCGUAGCAGACAGCCAUCACUAGAACCCAAACUAGAGAAAUCCUCAUACCAAUAGAUAAAAGGCAAACCGAUGCUCAGGCGAGGCUACAGAACCAGAUCUCCAACAUCAACGACGGCAUCGGCUAUCUCUUUUGCCUCAACAGGGACUAAUCUUAGUCAAGUUAGGAGCAAUAUGGUAGAGCUCUUCAGCAUCAGCUAUCAAGGACGAGAGGCUAACCAGUAGCAAGAGAGAGAGCCCACAGAGAUGCCAUCCCCACGAAAAUGAACCUCCUAACACAGAGCCUAAACUCAGCAAAUGAAACGGCUACCCAAAGGACAGACCCACCACCGCUGCACAAGAUAUCUAUAAACAUCGCAGGUUCCUCAAAAGACCCUCUACUUAUCAACAAGACCGGCAUACAACAAACGAAAAACAAAAAAGAGUAUAUACAACCCACCCAGAGGAGGGGAGGGCGACCCACAUCCAAGCAGGGAAAAGGAGAGCCGUCCCUUGCCCCUGCAACCGACGAAGAUCCCGACAAAAAACGAGACCGAGAUCCCAAAGACAAGUCUACUCGAAAGAAAAUUCGCUCCCUAAACUGUUAGAGAGAGAACCUUGUAAGGG